AAAUAGUAUCAAAUAUGUAUCAGUUUUUAUUAAAAUGUAUAUAUGCAACAAUAAUAAAUACACAAACUAUAUAUAUAUAUAUAUAUAUAUAUAUAUAUAUAUAUAUAUAUAUAUAUAUAUAUAUAUAUAUAUAUAUAUAUAUAUAAGAAUAACUUCAAAUAACUAACAUAAUUAAAAUGUAUAGUUAAAAGUGUAAUAUAUAUUUAUACAAAGUAUCAAAGUUCUAUUAUUCUCUUAAGUUUCUUCCCUUCCUUGCUGCAUUAAGCCUCAUGUUUGUCUUGCUUUCUUAGCCUCUCGAAUCGAUGCACACCAAAACUCUCACGAAAACUCCUUUUUUCUUUGCUGUUUUCUCUUCCAUGUGUUAGCAUCAUAAAACAAUANNNN
rnacentral:lncRNA from 1 species